GCCAGGCAUAAUGGUGUGUGCCUUUAGUCUCAGCUACUUGGAGGAUAAGGCUGGGAGGAUCACUUGAGCCCAGGAGUUCUGGUCUGUAGGACACUAUGACUAGAGGGUAUCUGCAUUAACUUCAGCAUCAAUAUAGUGAACUUCUGGAAGAGGGGGAUCACCAGGUUGCCCUAGGAGAGGUGAAUUUGCGCAGAUUGAAAAUGGAGCAGAUCAAAAUUCCCGUGCUGAUCAGUAGCAAGAUUGUUCCUGUGAGCAGCCACUGUACUCCAGCCUGGGCAACAUAGCAAGACCCCAUCCCUU
ensembl:misc_RNA Metazoa_SRP Metazoan signal recognition particle RNA